AGGGUUUGAUCCUGGCUCAGGAUGAACGCUGGCGGCGUGCUUAACACAUGCAAGUCGAACGGAACUCUUUGGAUCGAGACUUCGGUCAAGUGAAUCUGAGUUUAGUGGCGGACGGGUGAGUAACGCGUGAGGAACCUGCCUUGGAGUGGGGAAUAACAGUUGGAAACGACUGCUAAUACCGCAUGAUGCGAUUGUCUCGCAUGGGACUGAUCGCCAAAGAUUUAUCGCUCUGAGAUGGCCUCGCGUCUGAUUAGCUAGUUGGUGGGGUAACGGCUCACCAAGGCGACGAUCAGUAGCCGGACUGAGAGGUUGGCCGGCCACAUUGGGACUGAGACACGGCCCAG
rnacentral:rRNA from 1 species